GGACCUAAAUAUCAGGAUUCUGGAAACCAAAAUGGAGGAAAUGAUGAUAAGACUAAGAAUGCUGAGAGGAACUAUUUAAAUGUUUUACCUGGGGAAUUUUAUAUUACACGGCAUUCU
rnacentral:sRNA from 1 species